GCCUUCUUAGCUCAGUUGGUAGAGCGCGUCACUAGUAGGUCAGAUGUUAUGACGAGGUCAGUCGUUCAAAUCGGCUAGAAGGCA